CCCUUCUUAUUAGAGUUUCUAAGACUCCUGAUUAAUUUAGAGCCUGUUUCAGCUGCUGCUUAAGGAGAUAGAACAUCUUGCUCUCACCCUUCUCAGUUUGCUGUUUCUAAUAGCUUUUAAAAAGUUGCGUGUAGUAUUAAUAAUGUUGUUUAUGAGCAAACAUAUGCAUAAGCUCAAGUUUUAGGACGGAAAGUUCUUCAAUUGUAUAGCAGAGCAAACCUCUUGAAGAGCCUGGGGUGAUGAUGACUGCAACGAGGAAAGCCGACAAACAACAAAAAAGCCACAAGCAUGAUUUACUUUACCAGUGCAAAAAGAAAACUUGAGCAGAGCCUGAUGAAAUGCUAAGGAGAGAGAAGGGACACAGAGCUCUUGACUGACAGAUGUUUUACUUAACUUAGCAGACACUUGAACCUUUGGAUUCCCUUUUCCUUGAUUCAGGAUCUUCAAAACGGCUACAUUGUGGUAUGAAGAAAUCUGAUUUCCCAGAUAUUAACUCAUAAAUAUUAACAUUCUCAAAGUCCCUCUAGAAUAACUUAGGAAAAUAAUUAUGUCUAUCCUUUUGGAAUAUUCUAGGUGAUGAGAAUGGAAGUGGUAAAUGGAAACCACAAAAAGAAUUACCUUUAGGAGGUCUAGUUCACCUGUGGUUACUGUACCUGUACUGUCAUCUUAGGUUAGCAAAACCAGCUGCUGUCAGGGGGCUGCAGGGUGAGGUGAAUGAGCUCACAGACAGGCUGUUGAAUAGGAUUCAUUGGGAAGUGGGUCCAUGUAAUGACCUGUAGGUCUACAUUUUGUUGUGUGUUAGUGGGAGACUUUAUUUGCUUAUUCAUCUCUUCAUUCAUUUUAGCAAGACCUUUAUGAAAUUAGAAACAACAGCCAUCCUAAAGUUCAGCAAAGCCCUUUAUCUGAGCCAUGUGUGACUGUCAUCCAUGUGGACAGGCGGCCCGUGGCCAAACAUGCAGGGAAACCUCCAGCUUCUUGCAGAAGACCAGAUGAAUGUGUGGAGGUCAUUUCAAAUGUGAAAUUUCUAAGCUGUAGGUUUGUGCAUUUCCUCAUAAAGAUCCUUGCAAAUUUUCAUCUUGAAGUUCUGCAACACAGCCUGAUUUUCUUUCUCCUUGCCUCAUCUCCAUUCUCUCACACAGCUUUUGGUUUGCUACUGGAAAGUGACCCCUUGAGACAAAAUUAAUCUUAUUUCAGGAACUGUGCCCACAAAACAAGGAGAUGAAUGUUAAGUUCUGGUUAGUAUUAAAGAAAAAUAAAACAGUACAGAUUAAAGCCCAUGCGUAGCCAGUGCUUGUGAGCAGUGCCAAAAUGACGAUUACAGAGAAGAAAGGCUCUGAUUUAGCUGGGUAACAUGUAAUCCAAGGGCUAUGCUAUACUGCUAACAAGUCUAGAUACUAGGACUGUGUCUAUACCAUCUAAUUAAUAUGGCACUUUGCCUGCCCUAAUGAGUUCAAUUUUUUUAAUUAGGCCAGGCAGGAUGCUAUGCUGAUGUGGCCAUGCCACUCUGAGACCUUAGUGAGUAUCUCAGCAGGCCAUAGCAUUAUACCACAUAGACCCAAGAGCUUGUUGGCACGUGGGAUCCCACUCUGUGUUGUACAGGACGUAGCAGAUCUACCUGUAGUCUUUCUUCAGUGUUAAUCCUCUGCUGAACUCCAAGAGUGAGUGAAAUGAUCGAAGAAUGUGUGUUUGUACUGAAGUACUCUACUAAGGAAGAAUCCUAUAGCUCUUUGUGGGCCUCACAUGGCAACCAUGGUGCCUAUAUUUACUUAAAAUAGCACUUAAUAUAUAAGUAUUUAUAUAAAUACUUUAAAAAGUAUUCAUAUAUGCUGCUCUUUCCAGUAGUAGCAAGUUGAUAUCACUGAUUCACAAAGGGGAAGCUAUGAAUAAGGUGGGUCAAGUUACUUGUCCUAAAGCAGUGGACCUCCCGUCUGGUGGCAUGUUGAACAAGAGAUCUGUAUCACUUCAAUUCCCUCUGCAGAAACCCAUAGCUACUAAACUCAAAAAGGGUAAUACACCCAUUUUUGGCUAAAACUGUAGAUUUUCCACUUAAAAUGUCAUAAACAAUCAAAGUUUCUGAGAUCAUGCUCUCUGUGCAUCUGCCCAGGAGAAUGUCCUUGCACCUGCUGCCUGCAUUUCACAUGGGCUAAUGAAAUUUAUAAAGCUACUCAGUUCUUAUAAGGUUUGUGAGAAAGGGUACCUGCUUGUGGUGCCUCACAGCAGGAGAGAGCCCACAGAGAGCUCUGCAGAAAGCAUGUUUCAGGACUUUGCCUUAUUAGUCUACAAAUAAUUGACUCCCCAGUCACAUUUUAUUUCUCUGAGGUAGAUUUCACUGAAGAAGCUUCAUGACUCAAAUGUGUAACUGAGUUAAAAUGUCAGUCAUCCACAAACAGCAAGUCCACCAGCACUCAGGUUUACUGAGUCUAGGACUGUAGCGAGGAUGGGUCUCCCAGAACUGCUCGUGCAUCAGAAGGCUGGUAUCAGUGUCCUUGCUGAUGUUACCUGAGUCUUUGGGAGAUGAAAUUCAACUGCUUCUGAUCAAAGCCAUUUUUUCAUUCAAGCCCUCGAAUGCUAGCUUAUUAUUUUCUUUACAGCUAUGGUGUAUUUUCACUCUCCUAUGAUAUUCUUCUCAGAUGAGGCUGCACUGUAUUGCCUCAGAUCUAUGCCAGAAAGAAUUACAGAUGUUUCAAAGGAAGUGUGCAGAAACCGUGCAGCUGAAACAGAAUAAAUUAUGCUUAAAAUCAAGGAAAUGUCCUAAUAAGUGAGAAAUGUACCAAUUUCUCCUUGAGCUUUUUUCCUUGCUGCUACCA